CCGCGCACAAAGCCACCUUGGUUUUCUGGUUUUCUACCAUGCUUAAUGCUUCGCACCACGUGCCCAUCAGCCCACUUCUUUGCUGCGCAUGGGUCAGCUUCACGCCCAAAAACUCAACUCUCAUUUCCACGCGCCUGCUUCAAAGCCAUUCACGUGCACACCCGCUUAAAGCUUUGAUCCACUUGCCGCGUUUCCUCUGCAUGGUCCACCAUGGACCGCAUGAAGGUCGACCACGU
rnacentral:lncRNA from 1 species